rfam:Candidatus Falkowbacteria bacterium RIFOXYA2_FTLL_47_19 rifoxya2_full_scaffold_199, whole genome shotgun sequence.
UGUCGGGUAAGUUCCGACCUGCACGAAUGACGUAACGACUUGGGCACUGUCUCAACGAAGAACUCGGCGAAAUUGCAAGACCAGUAAAGAUGCUGGUUAACCAUAGUGGGACGAAAAGACCCCGUGAAGCUUUACUAUAACUUAAUAUUGGGUUAUGUAUAUGCAUGUUCAGAAUAGGUGGGAGUCCCGAGCAAUCGGGACAACAGUGAGAUACCACCCUUGUAUAUUCGUAAUUCUAACCUCUAGGCCCUUAUCGGGUCGGGGGACAGUAUUUGGCGGGUAGUUUGUCUGGGGCGGAUGCCUCCCAAAAGGUAACGGAGGCGUUUACAAAGGUCGGCUAUCCCGGAAUGGAAACCCGGGAGAUAGUGUAAAGGCACAAGCCGGCUUUACUGCAAGACCUACAAGUCGAGCAGUCGCGAAAGCGGAACUUAGUGAUCCGACCGUUCGAUAUAGGACGGCGGAAGCUCAUCGGAUAAAAGCUACUCCGGGGAUAACAGGCUGGUCACGCCCAAGCGUCCACAGCGACGGCGUGGUUCGGCACCUCGAUGUCGGCUCGUCGCAUCCUGGGGGUGUAGAAGCUCCCAAGGGUUGGGCUGUUCGCCCAUUAAAGCGGCACGCGAGCUGGGUUCAGACCGUCGUAAGACAGGUCGGUCUCCUAUCUACUAUGGUCGCGGAAACUUGAGAAGGACCUUCCCUAGUACGAGAGGACCGGGAAGGACGAAGCUCUAGUGUACCGGCUGUUCCACCAGGGGCAUUGCCGGGUAGCUAUCUUCGGUUAGGAUAAGCGCUGAAAGCAUAUAAGCGCGAAGCCGUCUUCAAGAUAAGGUUUCAUAGAGUCGCGGGAGAUUACCGCGUUGAUAGGCUCUAGGUGUAAGCCCCGUAAGGGGUUCAGCCGAGGAGUACUAAUAACUCAUUUGAUUUUCCCAC